UACGGAGGGUGCAAGCGUUAUCCGGAUUCACUGGGUUUAAAGGGUGCGUAGGCGGACAGGUAAGUCAGUGGUGAAAUCUCUGGGCUUAACCCAGAAACUGCCGUUGAUACUAUUUGUCUUGAAUAUCCUGGAGGUAGGCGGAAUAUGUCAUGUAGCGGUGAAAUGCUUAGAUAUGACAUAGAACACCGAUAGCGAAGGCAGCUGGCUACACGAAUAUUGACACUGAUGCACGAAAGCGUGGGGAUCAAACAGG
rnacentral:rRNA from 1 species